rnacentral:rRNA from 1 species
AUGAAUGUGUUAAGCUGGAACUGCCGGGGAGGGGGGAAUCCCCGGACAGUUUGAGAGUUGGCAACAAUCACACAGUCGCAUUCCCCCAACAUGGUGUUUUUGUGUGAGACGAGGCAAAAGGCUGAUAAGAUGAGAAGGAUCCGUGGUCGGUUGGGGUUGAAAGGUUUUACGGGAGUGCACAACAAUGGGAUGAGUGGUGGGCUGGCUCUUUUU